UCCAAGUGUAAACAUUUGGAAAGUCAAUAAAGUCUCUACUUUGAGAUAUGGGUUAUGCUACAAAAACUUUAUGCCUGACAAAACAAAGCUUCAGGAUUUCUGAGACCUUUACUAAACCCCACCCCAGGGCUAUCACCCAAGAAAGCAAGCCCUUUGCAAACCUGAGGCUGAGGGGGCCGAAUCUAAAAGAAAUGUUUAUACACUCUCAAGUACUCUGAACUGCUACAGAAUGUGCAUGGCUGAAUUUCAAAACAAUGCUGCUUUGUUAUCAAUCUUCUGUCAAGAACUGUCAAAGCAGUUCAACUUCCGUAAACCACAAAUAAACUUCCAUCCUUCUGGGGCUGAAAACUCAAAACCAGGAUUUCUGAAGGCUCAAAUCCUACAAGACAAGGAGACACACUCCACAGGUUCUCUCUGAAAAAUGAAAGAAAACACAAAAUGAAAAAGAAGGAAACCAAACAACAAAAAACAUUCUCUCCCCAGCCUAAUGGGUUUUAGGCCAAUCAUACAAGCUUGAGGAUCUACGAUUUUGAAACGUCUGGGAAUAUUUUAAUACACCUCUGCACCCAAAUCAUCUGGAGGAAAAAGUGCUGCAGAAGGAUGAAGGGUCAGACCACAGGAAAGUGAAUUCCCAAACCAGAGUGGAAAAAAUAGUCGUCAGUUCACAUCCACAAACUAGACUUUAUUUGAGGAUCUAUCUAACCUUUCUCAGUUUGCAGUCCUUGCCUAAGUGUAGCAGAAAUGCUAAGUCAUGGCUUGAACCAACAACUGAGCACCUGGUGGGAAGGCAGGGCCAACUCAGGGGAGCUCAGGUGCAUGCAAUGCUCCUGAGUGACCAGAAGGGGUGAAGCCAGGAUCCACCCCUUCCCUGACCUCAUUUAAGGGUUGGCAGUGGAGGCAAGGAAAUCUUAUUGGAGAUCCCUGCGUGCCUGAGGCCUUCUGAAG
ensembl:lncRNA